AGUUCGGCGCUGAUCGAGUGCUAUUUUCCAGUAUAGUUUUGGCGGCGGUCAGUGGCGCUUGGCGCAACGAAAGCAAUAGCAACACGGUGCAGUGGAAGUGAAGUGAUAAAAAUUCAAAAAGAAAUUGAAAAAAAAAAAUUAAAAAAAUUUAAUCAAAAUAAAAAAAAUAGAAAAUGGUUCGAUAUCUCAAAAGAAUUUCGAUUUUCUAUUUUUGCAAGAAAUUAAAGAGAAAAAGUGUUAUGUGCAUCGGAGGUUUAGCUAAAUGUGUGCUCGGCACGAAUACAGAGUAUUUGAAAUAAAAAUUGAAGAAAAGCAUGCGUUCGUCCAUGCAGAUUGGCGAAAAAUAAAAUAAAAAUGCAAAGUGGUCAACUCAAGUUACAGUUAUUCGGAUAAAAAAUGAAAAAAUUAAGACGCAAAAGUAAAAAAUAUUUCAGCGUCAGCUGCGCCUGUUAGUCUUAUAUCUAUUAGCGCACGCACACUAGUGUGCGCUGCGAUCUAUUGUAAACGGCGGCGUCAAAACUGCUGUUUUAUAUGUUUUUUGUAGUAUGUUUAUUUUUGUAAAUGAGUAGCAUGCCUUCGAAAUAUCAGACGACCGAGUUCAAGGCUAAAUUUGUGUGAAUAGUGAUCAUAGCGCCCGUUCAAAGUGAAGCAGCUCCGUCAUUGUGUCAUUUUUAUUUAAAACUAUUUCAGUUAUUUGCUGACGAAGCAUAUAUUUGAGAUUGUCGGUAUCCCACUUACUAUAAUUGUGGGCGUGUCAGUUUAAGAAUUGAUAGAACUACCACCGCGGUCGCGGAUUUGAUAUAAUCGAUUACGCACUAUCGAUGUGAGUUUCAGAAACAUGCUGUCUGCUACACAUCGACCUAAAACUUCUAGCGAUCGAUGGCGCAGCUCCGACCCGCGCUCGCGGCAAUAAAGUGACGGUCGCGCGUUCAUUACCCCCGGUAGAUAACGAACGCAAAAAAUAAAAGUUUAAGCAAACAAAUGCCCGUAAUCGCAGUUGUGCAUUUAUAUGUACUCACGUGGGGUCUGGUGAACCCACUUACGCCGGUGCGUCCGUUCAUUCGUUUGUUGGCUCAUCUGCGGUUCGCUUUAGCGCCUAUGUUUUUGUUAUUUUCGUAUUUCGUAAUUAAUGAUGAUUUUAUUUCGUUGCCUAAGUCGCAUUAAAGAUGCUUGCAUGUGUGCAUGCAUUUCGGGGCAAACCAGAUUCAUGCAUGCCGUCAAUAUUUGAGGCGAAGUGGAAAAAAUAAUGCCGCAUUUGGGCUUCGAGAGCAUCUGAAGAUUGGACCAAAACUGUUAUAAAAGCGAACUACCAGACGUCUUGAAGAUUGAGCUCCUUGUAAAUAAAUAUGUCUAAACAUUGUCUAACAAGUCUAAGCCGCACUGCAGUACAAUCACAAUUUGUCUUUAAGAAUCAUGGCAUUUUGAACUUUUUCUGGCAUCUACCACUGAAUUUAAUCAUCAAAUUUAUCUACAAGCGCCUCUACUUAUGGACUUUCUUAAUAAGCAACCACUUUUCAAAACCGAACCGAACAAAAGCUCUAACUAAAGAACCAGUCACUCAAAUGGAUUGUUUCAAAACUUUUGAACCUUUCGAAAAAACGAAAUGUUAUGAUUACCGAAAUAAAAUCCUCUUUGUGGUAAUUUAAUUACUGAAACCAACAAAAAUGUAUGAAGCUGCAAUUGAGAGUCUUAUGAAAUUUUAUAUGUGAGAAUGACAAAAGACGUUUGAUAGAAUUGAUCCCCCGAAGGAGAAAAUUGUAUAACAUUGGGACAAUGUCAUCACUUUUAACGAGCGAUUCUUAGGUCAGUCGCGGUGUUUGUUGCCAAACUCAUACGAAACGGCUGUACCGAUUUUGCUGAAAAUUGGUAGCCUAUCGGAUCCACAAGAUCAAGAUAUACGUAAAGAAAUGGAGAACAGUAUCCAACAUAUAAAGAUGCAUGUCUUUUACUGGGAUUGCUAGAAGAUGCUUGCUACAGCUGAAUAAAAUUGCACAGGAAUACAAAUUUGUCUACUAUUUAUUACUGAUAACAUGUUUUCCGAUCCGGGCACAAAUGUUGUGUGAUAAUCCUAAAGAUUCGAUGACUGAUGAUAUAUUGUAUCGACAUCGUGCAAGUUGCAACGAUCUAACGAUAUCACUCAGUGACGCAACAUCAUUGCGAAUUUA